GAUCUACCUUCUUUGUUGGAAGAUUUCUGUGAUUUAGACUCAUUUUGGACAGUAUUCCCAUGUUUAGCUUCAUGGUUACGAUGCCCAUCAACGUUUGUCUUCUGAGAAACCGCUUUAGGAGCAGCUUUCGGAUCAGGAUUUCUACUGUCGGGAUGAACUUGAGAUGAUGUAGUAGUAUUAUUGUGAUUAUCGGAUGAAACAGGUUUGUUGUUAUCGAAGACAGAGGGGGUAGCAAAAGAGUGUGAUUUGGUUUGUGAUCCUACAUGUGAGUGAUUAUUUUUAACAUUAGAAAGGGUUAUUUGACUAUGGGGGGAAAGUUCUUUGAAAAAAGAAUUGGAUGUCUUCAAAGGGGAUUGGAUUGUAGAAAGAUUCUUCGAUUCUGAACUUGAUUUCGUAAGGGAUCCAGAUAUAUUUGCUUUAGGAUGUUGGUGAUCAGUGGAAUGACCUAUAUUAGGAGGAAUAGUUGGAACAGGAGGAAUUCCAGACUUAUUUCCAAUAGAAGCUGCUCUGGGAUGUGAAGUAGAAUGGAAGUUAGUAUGACGCCAACUACCGGAUCUCUUUGGAGCCAUUGAAGCAUGGUAUGCAUGGUUCCCCGAGGAAAAAACGCUAGAUUGUAAAGGAACGGAUGAUACAUCUUGUGUAAUAGAUAUAACCCCACUCAAAUGCCCCCCAUUAUUUUGCUGAUUCCAAUCACUAGGCUUUGAUGAACGAUUAUAAUAUGAUAAGGAAGUUCCAAAACUCUUAGAGUUCGAUAUUGAAGAUGUCCUAUGAUGUGAAGAAGUAUUCAACGACGAAGGAUUGUUCUGCUGAGAUGACUCGAAAUCGAUUGGGUUAUUACCAAUACUUAUGUUUGACAAACGGUGUAUGGAAUUCCUCGGACUGUUUUUCUGUCUAUAAUCGUGAUCAAAACUACUUCGGAGUAAACCAUUGCCAGUCGAGUGGUGUAUAGUAAUAGCAUGAUUAUCCAUAGAUGAACCAACUCCCUUUGGUUCAACAUUCAUAAAUAACUCAUCUUUAUGCUCUUGUUCCGGAAAAGAAAUGUUCGUAUUUGAGGCAUUCGUCGAAGGACUCGUAUCUGCUGCUGUACUGCUAGAACUCUGGCGGUUUGGACAAAUAUCGUUGGAAUAACUACCAACGGCAGAAAGUUCAGAUGGGUUUAAUAGUUCAGAUUUUAUUCCGAACAUGUUUGCGCUUUUCCGGUUUGAUGUAUGAAGUUUAAAUAAUGCAUCCGUAUUUUCGUCGCCCAGAGAAACCGCUUUUUGGGACUGCAAAUAGCCCAUUUGC